GACCAUAUAGCUCAGUUGGCAGAGCAUUGGACUAGUAUCCCAAAAGUCGCGGGUUCGAUUCCCACCGUGGUCA
rnacentral:tRNA from 1 species